UACGGAGGGUGCAAGCGUUAUCCGGAUUUACUGGGUUUAAAGGGUGCGCAGGCGGAUAUGUAAGUCAGUGGUGAAAUCUCCGGGCUUAACCCGGAAAUUGCCGUUGAUACUAUAUAUCUUGAAUGCUGUGGAGGUAAGCGGAAUAUGUCAUGUAGCGGUGAAAUGCUUAGAUAUGACAUAGAACACCUAUUGCGAAGGCAGCUUACUACGCAGAUAUUGACGCUCAUGCACGAAAGCGUGGGGAUCAAACAGG
rnacentral:rRNA from 1 species